rnacentral:lncRNA from 1 species
AUUUUGAAAACGGUCGUAUUUUACAGGAACGAAUAUUUCUACCUUAUUUGAAAGAUGACGUCAACGGUUGUUUGUCGGCAAGUCGAGCGGAACGUUAUCGAUAAUCUAUCGUGUUUGCUUAUAAGAUAUCGCUAUCGAAACCGUAUUAAAUGCUUCGUAAUGCAACAUCCGAUCCGAAAAGUACGCUUUUAUUACACCUUGCUCGGGAAAAUAUUAACCAAUAAGAAAGCUCCUUUCACUAUAACUCAUUUUAAAAGUGAAGUACUAGUUCAAAAGUUGCCACAUCACACGAUGUUAUUACAUAAGUUUUAUUAAUGUUUUAUGUAUAUUUGGCGAAUCUGUAAUUUUACUUCCGUUUCUCCAAAAGUAGACAUAUCUUCCAUGUGAAGAAGCGAUUUAUGUCAUUAUAAAUUACUUAAAAUAAUACUUUUAAAUGGCUGCAGUGAAUAAAUAUUUAACGAGAAUCGUUGCGUUUUUUAGAAAAGGCAGAGAUGACGAUGAUGAUGAUCAGACUUCAGGUAUUACUGA